UACGGAGGGUGCGAGCGUUGUCCGGAAUCACUGGGCGUAAAGGGCGCGUAGGCGGCGCGGAAAGUCAACGGUGAAAGCUCGGGGCUCAACCCCCGAGUCGGCCGUCGAUACUUCUGUGCUCGAGCACUGUAGAGGCAGGUGGAAUUCCGGGUGUAGCGGUGGAAUGCGCAGAGAUCGGGAAGAACACCCGGUGGCGAAGGCGGCCUGCUGGCGG
rnacentral:rRNA from 1 species